rnacentral:rRNA from 1 species
UACGGAGGGUGCGAGCGUUAAUCGGAAUCACUGGGCGUAAAACGCGCGUAGGCGGCUUUUCAAGUCAGGGGUGAAAUCCCACGGCCCAACCGUGGAACUGCCUUUGAAACUGUAGAGCUUGAGUGUCGGAGAGGGUGGCGGAAUUCCAGGUGUAGGAGUGAAAUCCGUAGAUAUCUGGAGGAACACCGGUGGCGAAGGCGGCCACCUGGACGACAACUGACGCUGAGGUGCGAAAGCGUGGGUAGCAAACAGG